UCUGCAGUGGAUUCAAAGAUGGAAAAUUCAACAUGACAUCAAACAUUUCCACUGUCUUCCUCAACAUCAAACAAGUGGAUUUGUCCGACUCUGGACUUUAUUUUUGUGGAUAUUAUGUGAGCAGAUAUCCACUGAUUGUUGAUGCAACAUUUUUAGAGGUUCAAGAAGUGAAUUAUGAAAUGACAAAGCUGGUGAUCGUGGUCCUGGUCGGUUUGGUGGUUGUCAUGGUGAUGAUCAUCAUUUGUCUGUCUGUUAAAAUCAAAUGGCUUCACAAAGGUAAUCGUAUUUAGUUGAUUUAACCUAUAUGACAGACAAAACCAUAUAAUCCUAU